rnacentral:rRNA from 1 species
CCCUUAGAUGUUCUGGGCCGCACGCGCGCUACACUGAUGCAUUCAACGAGUUUCUUCCUGGUCCGAGAGGAAUGGGUAACCUUUUGAAAGUGCAUCGUGAUAGGGAUAGACUAUUGCAAUUAUUGGUCUUCAACGAGGAAUUCCUAGUAGACGUAGUUCAUCAGACUGCAUCGAUUACGUCCCUGCCCUUUGUACACACCGCCCGUCGCUCCUACCGAUUGAAUGUGCCAGUGAAAAGUUAGGAUUGGGCGUGGGAGACGGCAACGUAUUCCACAUCCGAGAAAAUCUUUAAACUUUCCCAUUUAGAGGAAGGAGAAGUCGUAACA